rnacentral:rRNA from 1 species
AACUUAAAUGAAUUGACGGGGCCCGCACAAGCGGUGGAGCAUGUGGUUUAAUUCGACGCAACGCGAAGAACCUUACCUGGAUUUGACAUCCCGGGGAUCUUUCUGAAAGGAUUGAGUGCCCUUCGGGAGCCCGGUGACAGGUGCUGCAUGGCUGUCGUCAGCUCGUGUCGUGAGAUGUUGGGUUAAGUCCCGCAACGAGCGCAACCCUUAUCUUUAGUUACCAUCAUUAAGUUGGGGACUCUAAAGAUACUGCCCCGGUUAACGGGAGGAAGGUGGGGAUGACGUCAAGUCCUCAUGGCCUUUAUGUCCAGGGCUACACACGUGCUACAAUGGGUUGUACAAAGGGUUGCGAACUCGCGAGAGUAAGCCAAUCCCAAAAAGCAACUCUUAGUUCGGAUUGGAGUCUGCAACUCGACUCCAUGAAGCUGGAAUCGCUAGUAAUCGUGGAUCAGCAUGCCACGGUGAAUACGUUCCCGGGCCUU